GACGAACGCUGGCGGCGUGCUUAACACAUGCAAGUCGAACGGAAAGGCCCUGCUUUUGUGGGGUGCUCGAGUGGCGAACGGGUGAGUAACACGUGAGUAACCUGCCCUUGACUUUGGGAUAACUUCAGGAAACUGGGGCUAAUACCGGAUAGGAGCUCCUGCUGCAUGGUGGGGGUUGGAAAGUUUCGGCGGUUGGGGAUGGACUCGCGGCUUAUCAGCUUGUUGGUGGGGUAGUGGCUUACCAAGGCUUUGACGGGUAGCCGGCCUGAGAGGGUGACCGGCCAAAUUGGGACUGAGAUACGGCCCAGACUCCUACGGGAGGCAGCAGUGGGGAAUAUUGCACAAUGGGCGGAAGCCUGAUGCAGCAACGCCGCGUGCGGGAUGACGGCCUUCGGGUUGUAAACCGCUUUCGCCUGUGACGAAGCGUGAGUGACGGUAAUGGGUAAAGAAGCACCGGCUAACUACGCG
rnacentral:rRNA from 1 species